CCUUGUUGAAUUCCAAAGGUAAGCUACUUCCAAAAGACCCACAAGCCUGUGUUCUCUACCCUGAAAGAUCCCUAGAAUUACCUUAGUAUCCAGUCUACAUUCUUGUGAAUCAUGAAGUCCUUGGCUCUAGCCUUAAUCCUGUGUGUGCUGCUUCCACUGUUCCAUGCUUUUUGCUACAUGAAGCCUAUGACCUCGAAGCCAGGCAUGAUCACCCAUUGUCGUGAUGACAAAGAUGAGACAUGGCAUCCUAUUGGUUCCCGCUGGAGGAACAGUGAUUGCAUGGACUGCACUUGUAAUUCAUGCUGCUCGGGGUAUGCAACUCCCGUAGAUUUUCCUGAUGAUUGCAUGAAGGAGUGGGACCAAAAGGCAUGUGAAUUCAAGGUGGUUAAGAAGAGUGAUCCCUCCAUUUCAUGCCCUAUCUUUGGCUCUGUGGGGAAGUGAAUUGUUUACUUCACUGUGUUCUCAGUAUACAAUGAAGAAAAUAUGUUGUCAGCUUACUUUGUGUCAAAUGUGAAUGUUCUGGUGUCUGACGAAUUGGAUUGGUUGAAAUGAAAUGGUAUAAACAUCAUGAUACAAAUUAAAAAUAAAGAUACGUGUUAGUGUGCAA